UAUUCAGCAUUUGGAUUAAACAGAUUUCUUGGGCAAUUUAUCUGCCUAAUUUCCGGCAGUUACUAUUGCAACUCUAAUCAGUACUGACAGAAAUCUCUUGGGAUGAUCCAUAUCAAUCUCUUUUGAGACUACCUCAUCAUCAAUCUUCCCAUUAUUCCUAUCAUUAUUUGAACCAGUACCUGCUUGCCUUCGGCUCCUCUUCCUCUAUAGGCUUGCAUCCAGGCUCUGUGCGGUGCAUGGUGAUCCUACCCGCAUGCAUAAGAGGAUUAUUUCCUCUUUUUCCCAUCCCUCCUUCCUUCCAUCUGGGAUUUUCCAUCUGGGAUUUUGAGCCAAUCACGGCUAACUAUUCAGGUUUUUCAGUCCAUUUUUUCAGACUACUGCCCCCCAUUGGUUCCUGACGAAGCCCCCUUGGGCGAAACUAGUAGUACCGUUACAUGCGGGAUGAAAUGAAGAUCACCUGCAUCUUUAUGCACUUGAAGUAUCAUUUUAUUUGUUAGUCUGGAAUUUGUCUAGUAUGCACUCUAUAGUAU